rnacentral:rRNA from 1 species
AUUAACGCUGGCGGCGCACAUAAGACAUGCAAGUCGAACGAACUUAACCAUUAGUUUACUAUUGGAGCGGUUAGUGGCGGACAGGUGAGUAACACGUAAGCAACCUGCCUAUCAGAGGGGAACAACAGUUAGAAAUGACUGCUAAUACCGCAUAUGCCUUGAGUAUCACAUGGUACAAAAGGGAAAGGAGCAAUCCGCUGAUAGAUGGGCUUGCGUCUGAUUAGAUAGUUGGUGAGGUAACGGCCCACCAAGUCGACGAUCAGUAGCCGGACUGAGAGGUUGAACGGCCACAUUGGGACUGAGAUACGGCCCAGACUCCUACGGGAGGCAGCAGUCGGGAAUAUUGCGCAAUGGAGGAAACUCUGACGCAGUGACGCCGCGUGCAGGAAGAAGGUUUUCGGACUGUAAACUGCUUUAGACAGGGAAGAAACAAGACAGUACCUGUGGAAUAAGCUCCGGCUAACUACGUGCCAGCAGCCGCGGUAAUACGUAGGGAGCAAGCGUUAUCCGGAUUUAUUGGGUGUAAAGGGUGCGUAGACGGGAGAGCAAGUUAGUUGUGAAAUCCCUCAGCUCAACUGAGGAACUGCAACUAAAACUACUAUUCUUGAGUGCUGGAGAGGAAAGUGGAAUUCCUAGUGUAGCGGUGAAAUGCGUAGAUAUUAGGAGGAACACCAGUGGCGAAGGCGACUUUCUGGACAGUAACUGACGUUGAGGCACGAAAGUGUGGGGAGCAAACAGGAUUAGAUACCCUGGUAGUCCACACCGUAAACGAUGGAUACUAGGUGUAGGGUGUGAUAAACAUUCUGUGCCGUCGCAAACGCAGUAAGUA